GGAGUCGUGCCUGAAACAAAGGACCACUUUGAUGUAGUGUAUUAUGAGGGUUAAAGUCCCUCCGACUCCU
rnacentral:tRNA from 3 species